GCCUAGAUAGAUCAAUUGGUUAAGAGUGUGGUGCUGAUAAUGCCAAGGUUGUAGGUUGCAAGUUUGAUCCCCGUGCUGGACA